GGCGUCGAGCGGCGGACGGGUGAGUAAUGCCUGGGAAAUUGCCCUGAUGUGGGGGAUAACUAUUGGAAACGAUAGCUAAUACCGCAUAAUGUCUACGGACCAAAGAGGGGGACCUUCGGGCCUCUCGCUUCAGGAUAUGCCCAGGUGGGAUUAGCUAGUUGGUGAGGUAAUGGCUCACCAAGGCGACGAUCCCUAGCUGGUCUGAGAGGAUGAUCAGCCACACUGGAACUGAGACACGGUCCAGACUCCUACGGGAGGCAGCAGUGGGGAAUAUUGCACAAUGGGCGCAAGCCUGAUGCAGCCAUGCCGCGUGUAUGAAGAAGGCCUUCGGGUUGUAAAGUACUUUCAGUCGUGAGGAAGGCAAUAUAGUUAUAGCUGUGUUGUUUGACGUUAGCGACAGAAGAAGCACCGGCUAACUCCGUGCCAGCAGCCGCGGUAAUAC
rnacentral:rRNA from 1 species